rnacentral:rRNA from 1 species
GAUGAACGCUGGCGGCGUGCCUAAUACAUGCAAGUCGAGCGAACAGAUGAGAAGCUUGCUUCUCUGAUGUUAGCGGCGGACGGGUGAGUAACACGUGGGUAACCUACCUAUAAGACUGGGAUAACUCCGGGAAACCGGGGCUAAUACCGGAUAAUAUUUUGAACCGCAUGGUUCAAUAGUGAAAGACGGUUUCGGCUGUCACUUAUAGAUGGACCCGCGCCGUAUUAGCUAGUUGGUAAGGUAAUGGCUUACCAAGGCGAGGAUACGUAGCCGACCUGAGAGGGUGAUCGGCCACACUGGAACUGAGACACGGUCCAGACUCCUACGGGAGGCAGCAGUAGGGAAUCUUCCGCAAUGGGCGAAAGCCUGACGGAGCAACGCCGCGUGAGUGAUGAAGGUCUUCGGAUCGUAAAACUCUGUUGUUAGGGAAGAACAAAUUUGUUAGUAACUGAACAAGUCUUGACGGUACCUAACCAGAAAGCCACGGCUAACUACGCGCCAGCCGCCGCGGUAA